UAAAAUAAAUAGAAUAAAUAUUAGAAACAUUUGAAAAGUGGCAUAUCAAGUUAACUACAGACAGUUUUGUUUUGUUUUUUAAGGCAACUUGAGUGGCUUUAGGUAACUUCCAAUUUCUGAAAGCCUCAAUAACUGAAAGACCCUGUGAACACGUACCAAAAAGAUGGCCAUCUGAAAGCCACGAAGAGAGCCCUCACCACAAUCCAAUCACUGUGGCACUGGAUCUCAGACUUCUAUCCUCCGGAACUCUGACAAAUAAACUUCUGUUGUUUAAGCCA